rnacentral:rRNA from 1 species
UGAGGAAUAUUGGUCAAUGGGGGCAACCCUGAACCAGCCAAGUCGCGUGAAGGAUGAAGGUCUUAUGGAUUGUAAACUUCUUUUAUACAGGAAUAAAUUGGGGGACGUGUCCCCUUUUGCAUGUACUGUAUGAAUAAGGAUCGGCUAACUCCGUGCCAGCAGCCGCGGUAAUACGGAGGAUCCGAGCGUUAUCCGGAUUUAUUGGGUUUAAAGGGUGCGCAGGCGGGAUGUUAAGUCGGCGGUGAAAUUUUGCAGCUCAACUGUAAAAGUGCCUUCGAUACUGGGCACCUUGAGUGUGGAUGAAGUAGGCUGAAUUUGUGGUGUAGCGGUGAAAUGCGUAGAUAUCACGGGGAACUCCGAUUGCGCAGGCAGCUUACUAGGCCACAACUGACGCUCAUGCACGA